AGAAAAGUCUGGAUAAAAGGGUCUGCAAGGUUGCCUUCAUAUGCGACCUUGACUACAUCCACAAUUUCAUUUGUAAUUGCCUCUCUUAUGAUAUGAUACUUUUGAUCAAUAUGUUUGUAACACCUUUAACCUGUCUCCAUUACCGAAUUAGGGUUAUGGAGUGUUACCGAUCAAAAUAGAACAUUUAACUUUAUAACAGAAAAAAUUUUACAACUAAAUUCUAGCAUAUGACAAAUAAUUCGAUUCAUGACAUAAAUACACAUAUGCGCCUUAAAUCGAGCUUAGAAGGUCUUAAAUACAAUUUGG
rnacentral:lncRNA from 1 species